rnacentral:ncRNA from 1 species
UCUUAUUUAGAGAGGUGGAGGGAUAGGCCCUAUGAAACCCAGCAACCAGUAUUAAAAAUAUAUGGUGCUAAUUCCUACUUAUGUAUUAUUCAUAAGAAAGAUAAGA